CAGACGGGGAACUACAAAUUUAUCAAAGCCUGAAAACUCAACAGAGCUCUACCUGUAUUCCUUGGAUAUGUGGUAUUUUAUGGCGUAUGGCCACCACACGCUUUCAGUUGAACACACUCUCUAUUUCCUUUCUCUGUACUGUGUGUUAGUGUGUCUCUCUGUACUGCCUUAAUGGUGUAGGUCGACAAAUGGGGGUGGUCGGGGUUGUGGACGCCCGUGCACUGAAGGCCGGGUGCGGGGAGGUUUGUCUUCUUAACUUUUUUAGUAACUGGGAUAAUUCUUCUAGCAGGGGGUGAUCAAGAGUUGGGGUUGGAUUGGUAUUGAUGCUGUCCAGUAGGGGGCGGUGUAGUUGGGGAAGGGUAAGGUUGGAGUUGUCCAGCAGGGGGCAGUCUAGUUGGGGAAGGGUAAGGUUGGAGUGGUCCAGUAGGGGGCAGUCUAGUUGGGGAAGGGUAAGGUUGGAGUGGUCCAGCAGGGGGGAGUCUAGUUGGGGAAGGGUAAGGUUGGAGUUGUCCAGCAGUGGGCGCUGUAGUUGGGGAAGGGUAAGGUUGGAGUGGUCCAGUAGGGGGCACUGUAGUUGGGGAAGGGUAAGGUUGGAGUGGUCCAGUAGGGGGGAGUCUAGUUGGGGAAGGGUAAGGUUGGAGUGGUCCAGUAGGGGGCAGUCUAGUUGGGGAAGGGUAAGGUUGGAGUGGUCCAGCAGGGGGCAGUCUAGUUGGGGAAGGGUAAGGUUGGAGUGGUCCAGCAGGGGGCAGUCUAGUUGGGGAAGGGUAAGGUUGGAGUGGCCCAACUUUGGCGGAGGGGGAGGUGUGGCUUGGGACUGAGUGAGAGAACUCAAAAAAUGGCGGCCGUGAUGCUAUAACUCUGUGUGGCUUGUCUAACACACGAGAGCGGAUGAGAGACUAGGGGGUAACUUUUGUCACUCUUGGAGGAGGAGAACGAGAAAAAAGGAGGAAAAAACAGGGGGGAGGGAAGCAAAAAACAACAACAGGGCCUAAAGACGUUAUUCAAUACAUCCAGAUAUUCUUCAUAGCCAAUAAUCGUUAUCUAUCUUUAUUGAUUAAUCUGCUUCAACAGACUAAACCGUCAACCAACGCGGCAAAGAGAUGUUGUUUAGUAUCGUAGUUUAUCUAUGCGACAGGUCCGGCAGUAAUUCAAAGAAACACAGUAAAAGAGAUAUCAUUUAUCCUUGUCAACUUGUCUAGGUCUAGUUUCAAUGGUUCAAACAGUAAAUUGAAGCGACACAGUAAAAAAGGUUAUUUAUCAUUGUCAAUUUAUCUAUUUCCGCAGGUUACGCCAUAGAGCAACGCAAUACGUCAGAGAGACAUUUAUUCAUUAUUAUCAAUCUAUCUAUUCCUACAUUUACCCGUUUUAACGGACAAAGAUAGAGCGGAU
ensembl:lncRNA